CGGCUUCUAAUAGGGGUGCGCCUUUCGGGUCAGGAGGCCUGCUGCCACUUUGGGAGGCGUGUGUGUGUAGUGGUGUGUGUAGGUGUGUCGGUGUAUGUGUAGGUGUGUAAGGGUGUGUAUGUAGGUGUAUGAGUGUAGGUGUGUGUGUAGGUGUAUGAGUGUAGGUUUGUAUGUGUAGGUGUAUGAGUGUGUAGGUGUGGUAUAUGCAGGGGUGUGUAUGUAGGUGUAUGAAUGUAGGUGUGUAUGUGUAGGUGUAGGUGUGUGUAGGUGUAGGUGUGUGGUGUGUGUAGGUGUGUAUGUGUGUAUGUGUAGGUGUAGGGGUGUGUGUGUAGGUGUAGAUGCAUGUGGUGUGUGUGUAGGUGUGGGUGUAGAUGUGUGUGUGGGGUGUGUGUAGGUGUAUGAGUGUAGGUGUGGUGUGUGGAGGUGUGUGUGGUGGGUGUAGAUGUGUGUGUGGUGUGUGUAGGGGUGUGUGUAGGUGU
rnacentral:lncRNA from 1 species